AGGACGCAGGCUCAUGCUGCGAAAACAGCUGCGAAAACUGUCAGUGUUUUGGAGUCUGGCUUUCUCAGCUUCAACUUUUAAGAUAUUUAAUUCUUCAUAGAAUAUUUAAAAAGGAAACAGUGACCAUGAGUAGAAAUGUAAGGUCUGAGUCGGGGCGGAAACGUAUUUUCAAGGGAAUGUAGUGUUUGGGAUUUUGCUUUUGCAAAAUCUGGUAAAAACAGAAAGAACUGAGGGGAGAAAAAGGAAGUAAACUUUUUUUAUUAGAUGUUUUCCCACAGAAUUAUCAGUGAAGCAGAGGCGCCUGUUUCAAUUUCUGCAAAUCUGCAGUUUGGGGAAGUACGUGAAUAUCACGGGGGAGUUUCAGAAUUAAAUGACUGGAUCACUCAGACCCAGAUUCUGCACAGAGAAACCAAAAGGAAAACCUCGGGCACUGCUGGCACUUCCAAGAUUACAUCAAUAACUGCGUUGCUUCACUCACCUUAUACUCACUCUGAAGGACAGAGCUGCACAGUUCAUCAUGCCAAGCUAAUGUAUUUAUGGUCCGAAAAGCUCUCCUCACUCCCAGACUUCAGGCUUACAGUGGAAUCCAAGAAGUCCACAACUGAACUGUCAGCAUGCUGGAGGUGAGAAACCAUUAGAACCUUACAUACGUGCUAUACCCUGUCAAAGUGUUGCAGAGUUCGUAUGGUCCUUCCCCAGAUCCCUUCCAGGCAUUGGGGCUUAAAGGUUAUGUUCCCUUCUGGAAAACCACAUGUACCCCAUUUUGUUUAACUAAUGCUUUAUCUUCAGAAGCAGGUUUUCCAAUACAAUGUAAAUAUAAAUAUUCUGCUGUGACUUCCUGUGGACUCCCUUAUAUUAUAGUUUACAAAUGGCUUUUUUGAUUUUCUGAUGUCACAUGGAAAAGGAACCGAAAGUGGAAGAAAAAACCCUUAUGCAAGAUGAAAGGAGUAUUCAUAGUUGUAUGCGGUAAACCUUUCCCAAAGAGACAACUUAAAUUAUGAAGCUUAUUUUUUUCAUUGGCAUUACAUUAAUUUCUUACUGAGACAUUUAGUGACUGCAAACAGUAACUGAUAUUGUCUGCAAAUAUGAUACACUAUGUGGGUGUUGCGAAAGCUAAAUAUAGCUCACAAGACAAUUCCUCUCGUGCUAUCACUACCAUCUUGUACAAUCUUGGAGUGGAGAUGAAAGGAAGUGACUAAUUCAGGAGGUGCAUGAACCCCAGCAGAAGUUGCUGCUUCCACAUGAAGGAGUGGUUUGCCAUCGCUCGGCAAGCAGAGACCGGCGUAUUUGUCCAGCAGCAGCUCCAGGGUUAAAAAAGUGGAGAGUGCAGGUGCAGGAACCUCUGAUAAACCUUCUCAUCUCCUUCUGGGAAUGGGUUGUUGCUGCAAUAAUGUUAUCACAAGAGCCCGUCUGUAGAGACUUCUGCCGCUGUUGUGAGUGAGUGCAGAAACGUGUUGGUACAACCUCUCUAUUCAGCCCUGGGAAGGCUGAGAACCUGGUGAGACCAGUGGGAAGACUGAGCUUCUACUCAGUGGAGCAGCACCAUGCUGUCCACUGUACCUAUGAUGCUGCGCUCUUGACAGGUGAUAAAUCAUGUCAACCUCCUUAGCUGCCAUAAUGUUUCUGUUGUAAUUAUAUCUAUGUAUCUAUUUAUUGUGAUGUUUUAUCUUGCAGGUUUUAAAUAUGAUGUAUUAAAACAUGGUGCAGUGCAAUCCAAAUGCAAUGAGGCAAGUAACUGUAAAAGCCAAAAUUAGGAUACAGAGAACAAUGUAUUUCAAAUUAAGUGGGAACAAGAUUACUUGUUAGCUGAAAAUAAUGAGCACCUUCAGUGCCUUAUGUGCAUGCAAAUGAUAGGUGUGCCAAAGGAAUAUAAUAUCAGCUGACAUUACAAAACCUACCACCAUGAAAAAAAUAAGAGAAGUGCACUGGAGAACCUAAUCAUUACAGAAUUAAAAGAAACUCCCCCCAAAAUCAACAUCACAAGCAAAGAAGCAUGCUGAUUUAAAAUGUCACUGCAUAAACUCAAAACCUGGCUGCCCCAGAUGAGACAUGCCUCAAGUGAACCCCUGAAAUGGGAUGGUGAGCCAGAAAAAGGUAUGCAGUUAAAAUGUUCUCUGCAUCUAUGGCUAAAAAAAAUUAACAAAACAUGGAAGCUUGUUAUCAUCCCAUGUAACUAUAGAAAGCAGAAUAGUUGGUGCAAACAAUCACAUGCUCAAAAUUUGAGAGCAAUCACAGAAAAAUGUAAGCACUUAUCAUUGACUUUGGAUGAGACCACUAACAGCAAUGAAACCAGGCAGUUGUUAAAUUUCAGCUGAGCUAUUGCUAAGGUUUUCUUUGUAAAACAAAUGGGGCAGUACUUUUACCGUACAUUGGAAGUAUUUCUUUCUACCACUAGCUCAUGUAACAGUUUUCAGAACUCCCUUGUCACAAAUAGUGACAAGCAGUGACUGUCUAGAAAAGUCAAUUAAUGAGUUUGCUGAAAAGAAACUGCAGCUGAAUACCUCACUUUCACUGCACAAUACUUUACCAGACAGUUGAUGGUAAAUCUAUGAAACAACGAACAUGAAGACUAGUAUCAUAUAUAUUGUUAACCUCAUUCACAGAAGAAAUACUGCACACACACACAGAAAAUGUAUCAAAUAUCUGAAGCAGCUGAAGCUAAACUAUGGGAAUUUACCCCCUCAUUCAAAAGUUGGUGACUGUAAGCAGGGAGGCUGCCUUCUUCACUUUUCCAAAUCUGCAUGUGUGAAGAUGAGAGAGCAAAUAACACAUUUCAGUUAUAAGAGCCUAUCUCUGCUCAUUGGUCUUCCUACCAGCUCUGUAAUAGCUCCAGUCUGCAUGGUGCCUAAAAUCUGAGAGCUAUUCAGGUCACAUAUUAUCCAUGGAAGAGCUUAAAAUUUACUGGAGUUUCCAUGUCGGACUGCAAAAUUUUCUACAAAGACACACACACACUUAAAAGUAUCCCGAACUGAACUCUUAAAGCUGUAAUUGAGAAAGAAGUGCCUAAACUCAUCCCUAGAGAGCCCAUUCCCACAUCUAGCAUCCAUGAAUAGCACUGAAUUUAGCUCAAAAUCCAUUUAGUACUCCCAGCUGACAUUAAGCACUCUUAUCCCGCCUGUGGAGCGAGCUCCUCCAGAAGACUGCUCUAAGCAGCAGUGUAGAGAAUAGCUUAGGAUGAGGUCCAUAUCCUCCCUCCUUUUAACUCUCAGUAACUCACUCAUGAGAUAGAGAUAGUAUUUACAUUUUGCAUUACAGAGUGAGGUAAACUGCAUACAUAUAAAUGGAAAUAGAGUUUGAAUUCCAAGUCUUUUAGACUUUUCAUUUUAAAGGAGUAUCUUCAGCAACAAGAUAUAGGGAGUUUGGGUCUGGUUUUAUACCCUUCUUGGUUCUGCCUUUCCUUUCUGAACAAUAACUCAGUUGCAACGAGAGGGAUGGACAGUGGCCUGUAUCCUAGGGCAUUCUACCAUCUGCUCAUUCCUUUGGAAAAUCAGAAUCAGUGGGUUCAGCUUCCUCAAGACUGAAAAGGUUCUAGAAGAAACAUUUCUGUCUUCUAAGAUAAAUACACAAAUCAACAGAUUCCUGUGCACAGGGCUGCCACAGCUGUGUCCUCCACUGGUACCUGCCUGCUCUGAGGACACAAAACAGUAUUUUUAACUCUGAAGUUAUGUCUACAGUGGCAUAUAAACCAAGACCAGCAUAUGGACUUGAACACAGGACUACGUAGUACUUAACUGUUAGCACAGUUGGCCAAUAACCACUGUCUAGCAUCAUCUGGAGUAGCACAUGCCAAGAACCAUCCCCAAUAGGAAACCUGGAUGUAGCCACACUGGUUUGGGGGAGUGAGGAGAGAAGAAAGUGCAGUCAUGUGGAUGUGAAGUGGGGGCCUCUCACGACCCCUACUUACUUGUAAAAAUGUCUUGUUGUCUAGAGUUAUUUCUGGCAAAGCCAAACCUGCUGUCUUUUCAGAUGGUUUUCAAUAGUGUUUUCUACUGAUGAGCUCUAAGCAGUUCUCCAUUUCAGUAUAAGGGAGUCCUGGAUCACCUGGCAGCCCUAAGCAGUCGGGGGAGAUGUCAUGGUUUAAUCCCAGCCAGCAGCU